CGUGGGUAACCUGCCCAAGAGAUCGGGAUAACACCUGGAAACAGAUGCUAAUACCGGAUAACAACAGAUGAUGCCUAUCAACUGUUUAAAAGAUGGUUCUGCUAUCACUCUUGGAUGGACCUGCGGUGCAUUAGCUAGUUGGUAGGGUAACGGCCUACCAAGGCGAUGAUGCAUAGCCGAGUUGAGAGACUGAUCGGCACAUUGGGACUGAGACACGGCCCAAACUCCUACGGGAGGCAGCAGUU
rnacentral:rRNA from 1 species